rnacentral:tRNA from 1 species
UGUCGUCGUCGAUCAGGCCGCCAAGGCCGGUCGGCCCGAGCCCGACCGCUCGACGUGGCGAGUACUGGGGAUCAUGCACCUCGCCGAUACCC